rnacentral:rRNA from 1 species
GUACACGCUGUGACUAGCAUAUCAAUAAGCGGAGGAAAAGAAACUAACAAGGAUUCCCUCAGUAACGGCGAGUGAAGCGGGAAGAGCUCAAAUUUGAAAUCUUGAAAGGUCACCUUUCACGAAUUGUAGUUUAAAGAAGUGUUUUCUGUUACGAUCGUAAUAUAAGUUCUUUGGAAUAGGACAUCACAGAGGGUGAGAAUCCCGUCUAUGAUUGCGAUUUGUAGCUUUGUGAUACACUUUCAAAGAGUCGGGUUGUUUGGGAAUGCAGCCCAAAACGGGAGGUAAAUUUCUUCUAAGGCUAAAUAUUGGCGAGAGACCGAUAGCGAACAAGUACCGUGAGGGAAAGAUGAAGAGAACUUUGAAAAGAGAGAUAAAUAGUACGUGAAAUUGUCAAAAGGGAAGCGUUUAACACCAGUGUUGUUUUCUGAAAAUCAACCUCUGUUAGCUUUAUGCAUGUUUGUUUAGACCUAAUCAGCUAUCUUGCAUGUUCUAUUGUUUGCAGUGGUGCACUUUUCAGUUUACAGGUCAACAUCAGUUUUUUUUACCGUAAAAAAGUUAAAGAAAGGUAGCUCAUGGCUCCGGUCGUGAGUGUUAUAGUCUUUUUCCUAUGCGGUAGGAGAGACUGAGGUCUGCAGUGUAGGCUAUUUGGCUAGAUACUCAGGUGCUAUGUGAUACCAUUUCAUAAACAACUUGUUGAUUAUGUUUUGUCUAUUGCAUACUCGCUUGUACUAUCAUACCUACGCUUAGGAUGUUGAGUAGCGACAUACGCAC